rnacentral:rRNA from 1 species
UACAGAGACUGCAAGCGUUUAUUCGGAUUCACUGGGCGUAAAGGGUGCGCAGGCGCCAUGUGUGUCAGGUGUGAAAGCCCGAGGCUCAACCUCGGAAUUGCGCCUGAAACUACAUGGCUAGAGUACUGGAGAGGGUAGCGGAAUUCAUGGUGUAGCAGUGAAAUGCGUAGAUAUCAUGAGGAACACCAGAGGCGAAGGCGGCUACCUGGACGAGUUACUGACGCUCAGGCAACGAAA